rnacentral:rRNA from 1 species
UAGGGAAUAUUGGGCAAUGGGCGAAAGCCUGACCCAGCGACGCCGCGUGAGGGAUGAAGGUCUUCGGAUUGUAAACCUCUUUCAGUAGGGAAGAAGCGAAAGUGACGGUACCUAAAGAAGAAGCACCGGCUAACUAUGUGCCAGCAGCCGCGGUAAUACAUAGGGUGCAAGCGUUGUCCGGAAUUAUUGGGCGUAAAGAGCUCGUAGGUCGUUUGUCGCGUCGAUUGUGAAAAUCUGAGGCUCAACCUCAGACCUGCAGUCGAUACGGGCAAACUAGAGUGUGGUAGGGGAGACUGGAAUUCCUGGUGUAGCGGUGGAAUGCGCAGAUAUCAGGAGGAACACCAAUGGCGAAGGCAGGUCUCUGGGCCAUAACUGACACUGAGGAGCGAAAGUGCGGGGAGCGAACAGG